rnacentral:tRNA from 1 species
AUAGCCAUAUUUUGAUAAAAAAAUAUAUAUUAAAAAUAAAAUAACCAAUGUUUUGGUUAUU